rnacentral:rRNA from 1 species
UUCGGAUUGUAGUCUGCAACCCGCCUGCGUGAAGUUGGAAUCGCUAGUAAUCGCGGAUCAGCAUGCCGCGGUGAAUACGUUCCCGGGCCUUGUACACACCGCCCGUCACACCAUGAGAGUCGGGAACACCCGAAGUCCGUAGCCUAACCGCGAAGGGGGCGCGGCCGAAGGUGGGUUCGAUAAUUGGGGUGAAGUCGUAACAAGGUAUC